AAACGGAUUCACCUAUUCCGAUUUCGAUUCCAUGGUAAAAAAGAAACGAACCAAACACGCCCUUAAUCUAAAUUUAUAAAAUAUAAAUUCAAAUAUAACAUAAAUAUAUAUAUAUAUAUAUAUAUAUAUAUAUAUAUAUAUAUAUAUAUAUAUAUAUAUAUAUAUAUAUAUAUAAAAUUAGGCUGGAAUACUAUUAAUAGUAAAACGCUCUUUUUGCUAUCAAGUUUUUAACCCUUGGAUGAAAAAUUGUAGGGUUAGGAUGAUAUUAGUCAGUUAGAGUUGAGUGGUCCCCCUAGGGUUGAGUGGUCCCCACUGAGUUAUAGUAUUUAAUCUAAUGGUUAGAAAUGAUGAAAAGAGUUGAUCAAAAGGCUAAAAAACUGGUAGCAACAAUGGAAUUUUGCUACUAAUAGUAGCCCAGUCCAACUAUAUGUAUAUAUAUAUAUAUAUAGUGUAGAGCUACUAUACUAUUAGAAGUAUAAAGGAUUUGAUCCUUCCUAUUUUUUGACCCUUGGAUCAAAAAUUGUACGGUAGGGAUGAUUGCAGCCCCCUUAGAGUUGAGUAGUACUAUUAAGAUUGAGUGGUCCCCAUAGGGUAAUAAUAUUAAUCCAAAUGUUACAAAAAAUUAAAGGGGCUGAUCUAAGGGCCAAAAAGUCGGAAGCACCAGAUCCGUUAUGCUUUCGAUAACAUAGUAGCUCUACUAUAUAUAUAUAUAUAUAUAUAUGCUACAAUAUAUAUUAUCAAUAGUACCAAGUCCUUGGUACUUUUGAGUUUUCGGCCGUUGGAUGAAAAGAUGUGCGGUUAGGAUGAUAAUGGUCUCCGGUUAAAUUGAUAGUGCUCCCCUAGGGUUGAGUGGGUGGUUGGUUUAAUAGUAUAAUCUAACGGGUAGAAAUGAUCAAAGGGUAGAUCUAACGGUAGAAAACUCAAUAGUACCAAGGGCUUGGUACUAUCGAUAGUAUAAUAGCCAGACUCUAUAUAUAUAUAUAUAUAUAUAUAUAUAUAGAGAGAGAGAGAGAGAGAGAGAGAGAGAGAGAGAGAGAGAGAGAGAGAGAGAGAGAGAGAGAGAGAGAGAGAGAGAGAGAG
rnacentral:lncRNA from 1 species